AAAAUAAACCCUAAAAGUGGUAAAGACUAAUUUACCCUUCUUACUCCUAACACUCCCCCUCAAGCUGGAGCAUAAAUAUUAAUCAUGCCCAGCUUGUUACAAAUAUGUUCUAUCCUCCCAUUACCCAAGGACUUAGUAAAGAUGUCUGCAAGUUGUUCACUGGUUCGAACAUGACUGGGAAGAAUUACUCCAUUCUGCAACUUCUCUCGGAU
rnacentral:lncRNA from 1 species